GGGUGUAUGCCUACUUUUCGAGUCUUGCCCCAGUGCCGGAUGUGGAGAUCUCCCUCGACGUUCCAUAUUCUCAUCGCUAUAACGUGAGGUGUGAGCGGAGGCCACGGGAGUCUUUCCUGUUUUUUCGCAGAUACUUCGACACCAUCACUGCCAUAGAGCCCUGGGCCGCAUUGCCGGACGCGGGGAGGGACCAGUACGCAGGUGCUCAGAAGACUGCCCGGUUCAAGAUUUGCUAGAGGGUCCAGUCUACUGGGCUUGGUAUUUCGGAGAGCGCUUCUUGAGGUAGACCCUCGGCCUACCAGAGCAGAUAGUUCCAAGGCCACCUCUUACCCAUACAAGGGCUACCGAGAGGUACACCCUGGAGAAGAUGAUGGACUUCACUAUCGGCUGGGAUUCGGACCUUUUCCGAGAUGAGGGCGACUACACCGAGUUCAUCUAGGCUUAUCUCAUGUGGCCUUUGACCGGUGCUCGCCGAGUCGAGAGAGAGAGGCCUGCAACGCCAGCGGCAGGAGCAAGGGCACUGAGGGCGACCCAGGCCCAUAGCACGAGUGGGUCCCAGAGGAGACAGGGAGUCGGGUGGGCCAGCACUGCCCACCACCAUGACAUGCCGAGGACAGGGUGGGGAGACUUACCAGAUACCCAUUGCUCCUCCUCCGGCUGAUCAUGAGCUUGUCGGAGUUCGCGACUCGACCCCGGCCUCCGUAGAGUAUACUGGACAAUCCCUGGAGCUGGCAGCCUCAGGGAUGUGGAUGCUGCAGAGGAGCAUCGACCCGUUGGCCAUCUAUGGUAUCCUAGCCCCAUUCUAGGUGUCGGCCACAGGGGGUGCCGCAACGGGACCAUCAGUGCCUCCCAGGGCAGCCGGGGGCGCCAGACGAUGGAUGACGAUACAUAGCCGGGGCAGGCACAGGCGUACUCAUGCUGAGAACAGUUCACGGCAGCUUACCCCAGAUGAUGAUGAGUCUGAUGUCGAGGCAGAGUCGUCUCAGGAUGAGGCUGGGGAUGGCUCAUACAGCGGAGGUGACGGCGAUGAUCCUGGACCUUCGUCCAGGAAGAGGACGAUGACAGACUCUUGCACUUGAGGCGACUGGCACCGAUCCAGACAUUUUGUUGAUUCAUAUGUUGCUUUUCUUUCUUUUGCUUUAUUCAGACAUUUUAUUGCUUUUCUCAUUUUUUGUUUUAUUUUCCUUUUUACUAGCAGUUUUGCACAUUGUACUGCG